UGAGGUGACAGCGACUGCAACUUCGACUCCAGCAGGAGGAGGCGAAGAUGGACAAGGGGAAGACCAGGUGACGUCGAUCUUCAUCCGAAAUUGUCACAGAAGGAAAAAGGAAAAAGUCUUCAUCUUGAGUUACAUAAGAUAACACAGAUGUUAAAUGCGAAACCAGAAGAUGUUCAUGUUCAGUCACCACUGUCCAAACUAAGAAGCUCAGAACACUGGGAUCUCCCUUUGCAGGGGUAGAAAAGAAGCAUAA